rnacentral:rRNA from 1 species
GUGACUGCGUACCUUUUGUAUAAUGGGUCAGCGACUUAAUUUUAGUAGCAAGGUUAACCGUUUAGGGGAGCCGUAGGGAAACCGAGUCUUAACUGGGCGAAUUAGUUGCUAGGAUUAGACCCGAAACCGAGUGAUCUAGCCAUGGGCAGGUUGAAGGUGAGGUAACACUUACUGGAGGACCGAACCGACUAAUGUUGAAAAAUUAGCGGAUGACUUGUGGCUAGGGGUGAAAGGCCAAUCAAACUCGGAGAUAGCUGGUUCUCCCCGAAAGCUAUUUAGGUAGCGCCUCGGACGAAUACUACUGGGGGUAGAGCACUGUUAAGGCUAGGGGGUCAUCCCGACUUACCAACCCUUUGCAAACUCCGAAUACCAGUAAGUAAUAUCCGGGAGACACACGGCGGGUGCUAACGUCCGUCGUGAAGAGGGAAACAACCCAGACCGCCAGCUAAGGUCCCAAAGUUAUAGCUAAGUGGGAAACGAUGUGGGAAGGCUCAGACAGCCAGGAUGUUGGCUUAGAAGCAGCCAUCAUUUAAAGAAAGCGUAAUAGCUCACUGGUCGAGUCGGCCUGCGCGGAAGAUUUAACGGGGCUAAGCUAUACACCGAAGCUGCGGCAAUAUGACUUGUCAUAUUGGGUAGGGGAGCGUUCUGUAAGCCGUUGAAGGUGCAUUGUAAAGUGUGCUGGAGGUAUCAGAAGUGCGAAUGCUGACAUGAGUAACGAUAAAGGGAGUGAAAAACUCCCUCGCCGGAAGAUCAAGGGUUCCUGUCCAACGUUAAUCGGGGCAGGGUAAGUCGACCCCUAAGGCGAGGCCGAAAGGCGUAGUCGAUGGGAAACGGGUUAAUAUUCCCGUACUUCUUAUAAUUGCGAUGGAGGGACGGAGAAGGCUAGGUGAGCCUGGCGACGGUUGUCCAGGUCCAAGUAUGUAGGCUGAUG